rnacentral:rRNA from 1 species
CUUCGGAUAUGAGUAGAGCGGCGGACGGGUGGAGUAACGCGUAGGUAAUCUACCUAGUAGUAAGGGGAUAGCCCGGGGAAAACCCGGAUUAAUACCGUAUACCUCCUUCGGGAGAAAGAAGGCCUCUCUUUGAAGCUUUCGCUACUAGAUGAGCCUGCGUAAGAUUAGCUUGUUGGUGAGGUAAAGGCUCACCAAGGCAACGAUCUUUAGCUGGUCUGAGAGGACGAUCAGCCACAUUGGGACUGAGACACGGCCCAGACUCCUACGGGAGGCAGCAGUGGGGAAUAUUGGACAAUGGGCGCAAGCCUGAUCCAGCCAUACCGCGUGUGUGAAGAAGGCCUUCGGGUUGUAAAGCACUUUAAGCAGGGAGAAAAAGUUAUAAGCUAAUACCUUAUAACCUUGAUGUUACCUGCAGAAUAAGCACCGGCUAAUUCCGUGCCAGCAGCCGCGGUAAUACGGAAGGUGCAAGCGUUAAUCGGAAUUACUGGGCGCAAAGCGCGCGUAGGUGGUUUGUUAAGUUGGAUGUGAAAGCCCUGGGCUCAACCUAGGAACUGCAUCCAAAACUAACUCACUAGAGUACGAUAGAGGGAGGUAGAAUUCAUAGUGUAGCGGUGGAAUGCGUAGAUAUUAUGAAGAAUACCAGUGGCGAAGGCGGCCUCCUGGAUCUGUACUGACACUGAGGUGCGAAAGCGUGGGUAGCGAACAGGAUUAGAUACCCUGGUAGUCCACGCCGUAAACGAUGACAACUAGCUGUUAGGAGACUAUGUCUUUUAGUGGCGCAGCUAAC